GCUGGGGUACUCAAGUGGUCAACGAGGGCAGACUGUAAAUCUGCUGGCUCCGGCCUUCGUAGGUUCGAAUCCUACCCCCAGCA
rnacentral:tRNA from 1 species